rnacentral:rRNA from 1 species
GAUGAACGCUGGCGGCGUGCCUAACACAUGCAAGUCGAGCGAUUCUCUUCGGAGAAGAGCGGCGGACGGGUGAGUAACGCGUGGGUAACCUGCCCUGUACACACGGAUAACAUACCGAAAGGUAUGCUAAUACGAGAUAAUAUACUUUUAUCGCAUGGUAGAAGUAUCAAAGCUUUUGCGGUACAGGAUGGACCCGCGUCUGAUUAGCUAGUUGGUAAGGUAACGGCUUACCAAGGCGACGAUCAGUAGCCGACCUGAGAGGGUGAUCGGCCACAUUGGAACUGAGACACGGUCCAAACUCCUACGGGAGGCAGCAGUGGGGAAUAUUGCACAAUGGGCGAAAGCCUGAUGCAGCAACGCCGCGUGAGCGAUGAAGGCCUUCGGGUCAUAAAGCUCUGUCCUCAAGGAAGAUAAUGACGGUACUUGAGGAGGAAGCCCCGGCUAACUACGUGCCAGCCGCCGCUGUAAUAC